rnacentral:rRNA from 1 species
AUGGUGAUUCGUGCCUCCUUAAACGCGAACAAUGUUGCGGUCUUCCUUGCGCUGGUUAAAUCUGAAAUCAAAUUCUUUGUAGAAACCCUUGCGUGCUUUGGGGAGGUCACUGGCCUGGUCACGAAAUGCUCUAAAAGCAUGGUUGCCCCCAUCCAAUGUGAUCACUUGGACCUUGAUGAUAUACUACAUUCCUUCCCGGCCAACCGAUCUACCUUCCCGAUGAAGUAUCUCGGAUUGCCACUGUCAGUCAAGAGGCUAAAAAGGAUCCACUUCCAGCCACUAGAGGACAAGAUUGCGGCCAAGCUUACUCCAUGGCUGGGCAUGCUCAUGGCAUCUCCGGGAAGGGCAGUGCUAGUCAAGUCUGUGAUCACGGCCAUCGCUAUAUACUAUAUGACAGCGUUAAACUUACUGGUUGAGGUCCUGGAAAAGAUUGGUUCUCUUUGCCGGGCCUUCCUUUGGGAGGGCUAUGACAAGGUGCUUCUCGGCAAUGGUCUCCGGGCUUCUUUCUUGGAGUCCGCUUGGCUCGAUGGUUUGAGGCCCAAAGACAUCGGCCCGAAGAUUUUUGAUCUAUAA